UGGGGGAUAUUGCACAAUGGGCGAAAGCCUGAUGCAGCGACGCCGCGUGGGGGAUGAAGGCUUUCGGGUUGUAAACCUCUUUCGCUACCGAACAAGGCCCGCUUAGGGUGGGUUGAGGGUAGGUGGAGAAGAAGCGCCGGCUAACUACGUGCCAGCAGCCGCGGUAAUACGUAGGGCGCGAGCGUUGUCCGGAAUUAUUGGGCGUAAAGGGCUUGUAGGCGGCUUGUUGCGCCUGCUGUGAAAACGCGGGGCUUAACUUCGCGCGUGCAGUGGGUACGGGCAGGCUUGAGUGUGGUAGGGGUGACUGGAAUUCCAGGUGUAGCGGUGGAAUGCGCAGAUAUCUGGAGGAACACCGAUGGCGAAGGCAGGUCACUGGGCCAUUACUGACGCUGAGGAGCGAAAGCAUGGGUAGCGAACAGG
rnacentral:rRNA from 1 species